UGCUCUCUCAGUAACAGAAAGUGGCCGCCUCUCCGCCGCCGCCGCUGCCGACUCAAAGCUCAGCAGUACUCGCUCGGCGCCCUUCACCGCCAUUUUGGAGUCAGGGAACCGAGAGUCGGCAGCGGCGACGAGAGAGACGCAAAAGGGGGCCGAGGGAGUCUGGAAUAAUGACAUCUCUUAUUGAGAAGUGAAAGUCCCUGGCCAGCAGUUGGACGGGUGGGGUGGGGGGGGUGGCCUAUCCGUACUGUAUGGCGUCAGGGCAGGGUGGCAGGCCGGAGGUCGGAGCAGCGGGGGGCUCGGGCCUGGCCAAACCUCUCUACCUGCAACGCCUGGAGCGGUCUUUGAGGCUGGACAGCUUCUUGCGCCAGACGGCCGCCAUCUUCAACAGAGACAUCACCAGUGAUGACAGUGACGACAGCGAUGGCGCUCUGGGGUCCACCCUCUCCAUGGACCCCUGCUCUGUGCAACACGCCACUAUGACGGUGAAAAGUGAGCCAUGUGACCAAGGGGAUGCUUUUGCGGAAGGCAAGCCCCUCAAUGGCGUCCUGCUGCAAGAGCAAAAGACAAAUCUCUACAAUUUCUCUAAAAUUAAGAAGAACCGCAAAUGGCUGAAGAGCAUACUACUGAGCGACAACACCACGGACUCAGACACGGACUCGGACGACUCAGACUUCAGUUUGUCACGGGAGGAGCUCCACGACAUGCUGAGGCUGCAUCGCUACACCAGGCAGCACCAGAGCAAGUUCCACGUGGACCCCGAGCUUCAGCAGUACCAGUUCUACAGCACAGGCCUGCUCUCCACUCAAGACCUUUUCCGUGAGCAACAGCGCUACCUACUGGGUCCAAAGAAGAAGAAAAUCAAGGACGAGAAGAAAUUCAAAGGAAAGCUGAAAAAAGUGAAAAAGAAGAAGAAACGUGGAGAAGGAGACUUUACAGAUGAUGGCCUCCCUUACGUCACCAAGACCUUUGCUAAGUUUUCCCACGAUGCACCAGUGCCCAUGGUGAAGAAGAAACAUCUGACUGUGGAACAGCUGAAUGCACGACGCCGCAAAGUGUGGCUUACGAUUGCCAAGAAGGAGAUCCCCAAGUCAUUCAAGCAGAAGACCUCGGCUAAGAACCUCGUCUUGACCAACGCUAAGAAGUUGGCCCACCAGUGCAUGCGGGAAGUUCGACGUGCGGCCAUCCAGGCCCAGAAGAACUGCAAGGAGACCCUUCCCCGUGCCCGCCGCCUCACCAAGGAGAUGAUGCUCUACUGGAAGAAGUACGACAAAGUGGAAAAGGAGCACCGGAAGAGGGCCGAGAAGGAGGCCUUGGAGCAGCGGAAACUGGAUGAGGAAAUGAAAGAGGCCAAGCGUCAGCAACGCAAACUCAACUUCCUCAUCACCCAGACGGAGCUGUACGCCCACUUCAUGAGCGGCAAAGCCUCGGUGGGCGGCCCGGGAGGAGAUGAAGCGCAGGAGGAGAUUCUGAAGAAGCUGGAUGACACCAGCGCCAACAGGCAGAUCGACAUCGGAGGAGGCGUGAUGGUCAACAUGGGGCAGGAAGACUACGACAGUGAAUACUACAAGUCUCAGGCCUUGAGGAACGCCCAGGAGGCCUACCAGAUCCAUCAGGCCAGAACGCAAAUGUUUGACGAGGACGCCCAGGACAGCCGCCAUGCAUCGCUGGCAUCGGCCUCCUCCUCCUCCUCCGCAGCUUGCGGCUUCGGCGAGAGCUACAGCCUCUCCAACCCGUCCAUCCAAGCGGGCGAGGACAUCCCUCAGCCCACCAUCUUCAACGGCAAGCUGAAGGGCUACCAGCUGAAAGGCAUGAACUGGCUGGCCAACCUCUAUGAGCAGGGUAUCAACGGCAUCCUCGCAGAUGAGAUGGGGCUCGGGAAGACCGUCCAGAGCAUCGCGCUGUUGGCCCACCUAGCAGAGAGAGACAACAUCUGGGGUCCCUUUCUCAUCAUCUCUCCGGCGUCCACGCUCAACAACUGGCAUCAGGAGUUCACGCGCUUUGUGCCCAAAUUCAAGGUGCUGCCAUACUGGGGAAACCCUCAUGACCGCAAAGUCAUUCGGAAGUUCUGGAGCCAGAAAACGCUCUACACGCAGAACGCCCCCUUCCAUGUAGUGAUCACAAGCUACCAACUGGUGGUCCAGGACGUCAAGUACUUCCAGAGAGUCAAGUGGCAGUACAUGGUCCUGGACGAGGCACAGGCACUGAAAAGCAGUACCAGCGUGCGGUGGAAGAUCCUCCUGCAGUUCCAAUGUCGAAACAGGCUGCUCCUCACAGGAACGCCCAUCCAGAAUACCAUGGCGGAGCUGUGGGCCCUGCUCCACUUCAUCAUGCCAACGUUGUUCGAUUCCCACGAGGAGUUCAACGAGUGGUUCUCCAAGGACAUCGAGAGCCAUGCGGAGAACAAAUCGGCCAUUGAUGAAAACCAACUUUCGCGACUGCACAUGAUCCUUAAGCCUUUCAUGCUGCGCAGGAUCAAGAAGGAUGUGGAGAACGAGCUCUCAGACAAGAUCGAAAUCCUGACCUACUGCCAGCUGACGUCUCGCCAGAGGUUGCUCUACCAGGCCCUUAGGAACAAGAUCUCCAUCGAGGACCUGUUGCAGUCCUCCAUGGGCACGGCCCAGCAGGCCCACAGCACUACGUCGUCCCUCAUGAACCUGGUCAUGCAGUUCAGGAAGGUGUGCAAUCACCCCGACCUGUUUGAGCGGCAGGACACACGCUCUCCUUUCCACAUGUCCCUCGCGCCUUACGUCGUGUCCAAGUUCCUCUACCGCCACGGCCUCCUCCACGCUCACAGCCAGGCCAAGGACAAGUUACUGCGAGUGCUUCUGUCUCCCUUCUCCCCAAAUAACAUCCAGCAGUCGCUCUUUCACAGGAGAGGUGACGACCAAGGGAGCUGUUUUGCCUUCCUACGCUUCAUCGACGUGUCACCGGCCGAGAUGUCCAACCUCAUGCUGCAAGGCAACUUGGUCAGGUGGUUAGCCCUUUUUCUGUCUCUGAAGGCAGCGUACCGGCUACACUCUCAGCGGCUCUUUGACCUCCAGGAAGACGACCACAAUGAAGGCGAUGAUAACAGGGGGAGGUCACAGAGUUCCUCGAGUCGCCAUCUGUCUCGCAGAGACCUCAUCUUGUGGGUCAACAGACCCACCGCCUUCCCCAACACACACACCAGCCCCGUGCUGCGGAAUCUGGUCUUCACGGCCCUUAGGCCCGGCUUGGUGGGACACUCGGAUGUGACGAUACACUGCAGGCGCUCCUCCACCUCCAGGCUGUGGAGAUGCCAGCCCACGCUUCCACCCAAGUUCCUGCUCAGCACCACGCCCAGGGUGACCGCAGUUCCCAUGGAGCGCUAUUCCACCGACCGCAGCGCCGAGCACGAGUGGCGGGUGACGCGCAUCGGCGGGGGCACCGUCUUCAAGGAGUGCUUCCUCUACGGCACGCCGGAGCUCGCGUCUGAUUGGCGCCAGAGGAGCGGCGCUUUCUUCCCGCCGUGCCCCGGCGGCGUCAUGGCCCUCUACCCUCAACACGGCUGGUCCUACAUACGGAUACCAGAUAAGGAGAGUCUGAUCACGGAAAGCGGCAAGCUUCACACCUUGGAUGUCCUGUUGAGUCGACUAAAGGCGCAGGGACACCGAGUCCUCAUCUACUCCCAAAUGACUCGCAUGAUCGACCUGCUGGAGGAGUACAUGGUGUACCGCAAGCUCACCUACAUGCGCCUGGACGGAUCCUCCAAGAUUUCCGAGCGCAGAGACAUGGUGGCGGACUUCCAGAGUCGGACGGACAUCUUUGUGUUCCUGCUGAGCACCCGGGCCGGCGGGCUGGGCAUUAACCUGACUGCUGCAGACACGGUUAUCUUCUAUGACAGCGACUGGAACCCCACAGUGGACCAGCAGGCCAUGGACCGGGCCCACCGGCUGGGUCAGACCAAACAGGUGACCGUCUAUCGGCUCAUCUGCCAGGGGACCAUCGAGGAGCGCAUUCUGCAGCGCGCCAAGGAAAAGAGCGAGAUCCAAAGGGUGGUGAUCUCUGGCGGCAACUUCAAACCCGACACGCUCAAACCCAAAGAGGUGGUCAGCCUGCUGCUGGAUGAUGACGAGCUGGAGAAGAAACUGCGUCAGAGGCAGGAGGAGAAGCGACAGCAGGAGGAGAGCAGCAAAGUCAAGGAGCGCAAGAGGAAGAGGGAGAAGUACGCCGAGAAGAAGAAGACGGAGGAGUCGGAGAACAAGAAGAGGAAGGAGACCAACCUGGUCAUCUCGCACGCGCCCUCGGCCGACAACUCCAAUUUGUCUGCGGACGGAGACGACUCCUUCCUCAGCGUGGAGAUGGACUCGGCCAUGCCCAGCCCCUUCAGCGAGCCUGUGUGCGUGUCUUUGUGUGCUCCUGUCGGCCAACAGAUCUCGUUGAGCAGCGAGCUUCAACCCGGCUCGCUGCCGCCGGACGCCGACGCCGACGAGAGCAGCAGCGACAUGUUAGUCAUCGUGGACGAGCCGCUGUCGUCCGCGCAGCAGUCCCGUGCCACCAGCUCCCCCGCAUCCGUGUCCGGUUCCGUCUCGGACAACAUGAACGGUGUUUCUGCCUCGGAUGUAAUCAGCCCAGGCAGAGGCAGGUCGGGUCGCAGUCGAGGACGUCCUAAAGGAUCCGGAGGUGGGCCCAAGACAGGGGGCAAAGGGCGCGGCCGCAAGUCGACGGCGGGAAGCGCGGCGGCCAUGGCGGGUGCGAUGGCGGGCGCGGCGGCCGCCUCGGCAGCAGCCUACGCCGCCUAUGGCUACAGUGUUUCCAAAGCGGGCCUCGCCAUGUCCAGCCCCCUGCAGCCUUCAAUGGGCCGUUCCGGCGCCGGUCCCGUUUUUAAUGCCGCCAGAAGCUCCUCGUCUCCGCAGACCACGGGCGGCGGCACCUCUGCCCCAAGCCCCAGCAAGCAGCUGGUCCACGGCCAUCACCUGGCUGCCGUCAGGAAGACGAAGGGCACCGGCGUUUCUGGACCACAAUGAUGCGCUCACGCGCACCUCACCUUGCAUACAAGUGCGUCGGCUGCGCGACAUGACGAACGACAACCGCCGACCUACUCUCACUGUGAUCCUCAACCACACCCCGUGCCUGAGACAGUACCGUGCCGUGUUUAUCAACGCCCUCAUGCUAAUUGUCACAAAACACACACACACUUUGCGGUCACCGACACGAUGUACUGCUUUUCCUUUGACAGGAAGCUGUUCAUGCAUCGCCGGGUUCCAAGGGCUGUCCAACACACUGAGCCACGUCUUCCAUAUUUGUUAGCGCUUGUCCUCGUGCACUGAAUACGCUCCACAUGCAUUUCACCGACCCGCAGCGUUUGUACUAAAAGCGCCUAUUUUUCUAAUCAAAAGACUAGCCAGCAGGGUUUCUAUAUAGAAUAGAUAUUUUUUGUCAAAUAUGCCAUGUAACACGUUCCAAAAUGAGGCUUAAAUUGUCAAAAGCAGAGAUGCUGCUAUGAAGGUGAAUGAUUUCAUUGAGUAGAGUGCCUCCUCUCGUCAUUAAGUUAUUUCAGUUGACAAUUUGCCAUAACUGUGAAUAGCACAUCCACCUGUAAAACUUGUGUACAUUGUAUUGAAGUCAGUAAAUACGUUAUAUAUGGUAUAUAUUGUUUUUUGGGGGGGUAGGGAGGGUGAGGGGUGACUAACGUGGCUCAUCGUUGGUGUUGUUUACAAUGUGUGAGUUUCAGGUUUGUGUUGAUAAUGUGAUUAAUGUAUGAUCUUCCCUGGCAUAUAUGUACAUAGCGACGAGGGGGAGGGCCAACGUCGCACCUGGCUUUCCCCCACGUUCACCUGUCUAUUUUUAUAGGUCACGUGUACAUAAUUGAUAAAUGCAUCUGUUGUUUUACUAACAGGAAGAGUCAGGUGGAAACAAUAAACGUGCUGAGUCAGUCUUGAGUUGAAAUCUUGUGCCACAAUGCGACUAUUACAAGGAGAUACAUGUUGAGUAGAUAAUUAUUUUGAAAUCCCUGGUGUACAAGACCUGUGUGGACAAGAACCAUUUUGCUAAGUAUUAGAAUAUAAAGGGAUAAUUUAUGCUUUUGAACUAAAUGUAAUUGGAAAUUAUAGCAGUGAUCAAGUCACAAUUUAAUAACAGCACCAUUCUGUGGUAAAAGUGAUCAAGACUUCAUACACGCCUUUAUUUUGAAAUCUCAGGUGCACUUCCUGUUUUGAAGUGCUGUUACUGUAACGUAAAUGUACUGUUUUCAUUUUCACAUUUGGAUUCCUGAGUGCACAGGAAGGUAUUCAUGAGCGUUAAACAUAUUUUUUGCAUAUAAUUACCAGAUAAAGUGCAGUCGCGUUAUAUCAGAAGGCCAUUAAACAACAAGACUGUUUGGUUAUAAAGGUGAAUUUUUGAAAGCUUUUUAAACCACUCAAUAACCCAAAACGCUGACAACAAUUACUAUACUGUAUACAGUGCUGUAUGUAGCAAAAAUGCUAUAGAAUGUUAGAAUUCAAAAUGGCGGGUUUUCCCCAACCUUUCCCACAAUUCUCUGCGGGAUUCAAGAUGGCGUCUUGCGUGGAACAAUACAAUUCCGGGAAAUAAUUCGUCAGCAGUCGGUAGAGUUUGAAUUAGCAAGGUUUUUUCAGCGUUUGGUCACUAAUGUCUUGAUCUACGUGUAUUGUAAUUAUCACCACACUCUUUUGCUACACACAUCGCGAGACUGUUUGUGGCUUUGGUGUAAAUCUUUGGAAACGAAAACUUCUCCAAGGUCUUCCCCAACUACAAGCAGAUGCCGGGUAAGUGUUUCUCUUCACAACUAUAUGUUUUCUAACAAAAGGUACAAACAACAGUAAACAUAUCAGAACUUUUAUUUUCUUACACUGGGUGAAUCGCAAUUAAAACACGUCAAUAAUGACCUAAAAAUAAAACACAUGUAAAUAAGCGUGCGCGUUUUGGGCAAAAUACGCAGAUGGGAACCUUUUGAAUGUUAAACUGUGGCAAGGGGGAAUCAUUUGAAUGAGACACGAGUAUGGUUCCCUUAGACAGCCCAGUACUAUUACUUCAUUAUUCAAUCAUGUUUCAUUUUCUGUGCUAGGUUAUUGCCCCAGAUACUACAAAGGUCUGACAAUAUUAAUUGUAAAAUAGUGCAAAUAAUGAUCUGUAUUUGACAAUGCUUUAAAGUUAUUUGUAAGUUAGAUUUUUUUAAAAAUGCAUUGUAUUCAAAUAUCAUCAGCAAUUUUGAAGGUGAUAUUACUAAAUGUCAACUGACUGACUUUUUUUGAUACACGGUAGGAUAGUUUAAUUUUGCAAUGACAUUUUUAUUGUGUCCUAAUUUUUAUUUUAGUUCUAUUUUUGUACACAAAAUAUUGUAAGGAUAUGACACCACAUUAUGGGAUGUUUACAGUGAAAACGGAAUAUGGAAUUACAAUCAGUAUUUGAGAAUAGUUCCCUUAAAGUAUAUCUUGGUGGGAUUUAUACACUUGGAUUAUUCUGAUUAAUAAUCUCAUCCAAUAGCUGCUAGUGACUUUUAUAAGGACUUCAUAAGGACUAUGUUUACCAGUGGCUUGCAUACACCUUUAUACGUGUUCUUGUUGUGCAACAGUCUGUGGGGACACUGUAUGGCCCAUUAAAGCCUUCUGACAAAAAAGGGGUCCAUGGCAGACCAUUUAACACUUUGCUAGGUGCUAAAUGAUACUUUGUACUGUAUAGCCCAGCCCCCCAGCAAACUUGACCACUUACGACUUCAAUGUAUUUGUUCCAUGUUUUAUUAUGACAUCUUUUCACAUUGUUACAGCUUUUGAUACACAACCGUCAAUGCAGUGUGAAUGGACGUCAACAUUUAAGUGUGCAUAUUAGCAUUACAGUGCAUUCACUUAUUACACGUCAACUGAUGACAAGCCUCAUAUGAGGGUUUUUUGUUUUACUGCGCCGCCAACAUGUACGCCACCAUGGACAGGGCCGCUGCUUCCACAGAGAACAGGUGGUGGUCCUCCACCUGAGGGCAGCUGCUCCUCAUGAAGGCAGCCAACCGGAGCAGGUACUCCAGGUUGUGGCCCGUCUUGCCCUGGCACACGGCGAUGCGGGCGCCGAUCUCCUCGGGCGAGGCGGGCCCCAGGUACAUGGGGUUGUCGGCAGUGGCGAUGUACAGCAGCGCCGGCACAGAUGGCUGCUCGUGCCCUUCGGGGUGGAACUCCACCAUUUGGGUGACGUAGCCGCCGCACUUGCCCUCACGGACAUCCAGGUACUUCAGGGCCUCCUCCACUUGAGUGCCCGUCACCUCAAACGCCACGCCCCACGUACUCGCCUGUGUUUGGAUAAGAAGACAACAUUGUUACACACGUCAAUCAAGCAGGAUGUGGUGAGCAAACCGGAAGUGGAUUACUUACGUCAUCCUCUGGGAUCAACGUCACCACUCGUGCGGGCUGGAGGAGGAGAGAAAGGGUCACGUGAUUAGACGUCGUCUCAGAUGCUGGCAAGAAGCCACAAAAAUCAAACUCACCAACUCGUCGUUGCCUCGGUGGAAGUUGUCGCCAUGCCAGAAACGUCUCUUGUAACCUCGAAUGUAGCCCAAUUUGCUCCUCUUGUACUUGAAGUCGGGCUUCCACACCAGAGAGCCGUAGCCGAAGAUCCACAGGCUGCUCUUGGCGACCAAGAUGUCUUGAGGCUUCAUUUUGUGUAUCAAACGCGACGUUUGUUUAGUAAAAAACAAGAUGAUGAUGAAUCUAUGGAUUGACUUCCGCCAAGUCGUCGCCUCAGGCCAACUAGCUGGCUAACGUUAGCUUCCUCCGGUCCAACAGCAGCGGUACCGGUUGGCUCGAUGGUAUACCGCGGACGGUACUUGAGCCCAACUGCUUGGCAGUUGCGACGAUGGGGGUGAGAGGUGGGUUUUGCCGAUGCAUUGCCAUUGCAUUACAGUUGCCGCAUUAUGCCCUUCAAAAAUCCAUGGUAGCCGCUUGGGGCCUAACGACGUGUCAAAAUGAGGGGAAAAGACGAACCCGUUUCGGCCAGCAGUUCCGCCGGCCGUGUUCAAGAGCAGUAAGACGACGGGUAAUUAAAUACUAUAGAUACUAAAGAAACACUGGCUUGAUAUGCUGAC